GAUGAACGCUGGCUACAGGCUUAACACAUGCAAGUCGAGGGGAAACGACGGGGAAGCUUGCUUCCCCGGGCGUCGACCGGCGCACGGGUGAGUAACGCGUAUCCAACCUGCCUCUGACUGAGGGAUAACCCGUCGAAAGUCGGCCUAAUACCUCAUGGCAUCGUCUGCGGGCAUCCAACGACGAUUAAAGAUUUCAUCGGUCAGAGAUGGGGAUGCGUCUGGUUAGCUUGUUGGCGGGGUAACGGCCCACCAAGGCGACGAUCAGUAGGGGUUCUGAGAGGAAGGUCCCCCACAUUGGAACUGAGACACGGUCCAAACUCCUACGGGAGGCAGCAGUGAGGAAUAUUGGUCAAUGGGCGAGAGCCUGAACCAGCCAAGUAGCGUGCAGGAUGACGGCCCUAUGGGUUGUAAACUGCUUUUAUGCGGGGAUAAAGUGAGGGACGUGUCCUUCAUUGCAGGUACCGCAUGAAUAAGGACCGGCUAAUUCCGUG
rnacentral:rRNA from 1 species